UUUGCGAUGCAAGUGUUCUUCCUGGUGCUAUUGGUGUGAAUCCCAUGAUUACUGUCCAGUCCACUGCUUAUUGCCUUUCAAAGAGAAUAGCAGAGUCUUUAAGACAAAAACUAGUCUUCUGAAGUUUAUGAAUCCUUCGUCAACAGCCUGAAGAUUGACGAUAAAUGUAUUUUAUAAGUUUAUAUGCUUGCAUUUUACUGAAGAAUAAGAAACAGAGAGGAUGGUAAAGUCUGUAAAACUUGCUCAUAUAGUGACAACAGAAAGGGAUUUGAUUUUCUUAUUAGUUUCCACCGUCUCAUAGAAUUACUGACUUUAGGUUUUUUAAGCUUUCAGUAGCUUAGUUUAUAGCAAGAUUCACGAAUUGAUAUAUUUACCUUUUAUUUGUCAAAAUGUUAUAACAAUUUAAAGCAUCCAGAGAGAGGGCAAGGAAAAGUUUUUGGAGAUGGAGGGAACAGCUCAGAUGCAUACAGAGAACAUCAAUGCUAGGUUGCAGCAGGCACCUUUUUUUUUUGUUUUUUUCCAAUCAAAAUGGGAGAUAUAAUUGCAACUCAACCGUGGAGGAUGGGGGUUGCAGCAGGCACCUAUAGAAAUAGUUACUUUCACCAUGGUUGAGGUGCAAGCUGGCUGGAGUAAAGGGUAGAGAAUCAUGCAAAUAAGGAGUUUAUCACAAGGAAUUCAAGGAGGUUUUCCAUCUAGCCUCCAACAGGAUGUCCAGGGAUAUAGCCUAACAUAGAGAAUGUUUCAUUUAAGAACAAAUAGCCUAUGACACUCUUGAUAGCAAUUACGCUAACUAAUCUAAACCCAUAAACAAUAAAUUCUGCUAUAGAAAUUCCAGCUUUCAGGAUCCUAAAGAUCUUUACAUAUAGCCAGCAUAUAAAUCAGAAGACAACUGUUAAAUUGUAACAAAACAAUUCCAGUAAAUAAGAUCCUCUAAAUCACUGCAAAUCUAUGAUAGCAACAUAUAAUUCUUGAACAUCUACGAAUAACACAAUGGUUAAAAUCUACAAAUAAAUGUUUCCACCUUUUUAAUUCAUGUAAUUCACUUGCGGGGAACAAAACAAAGAAAAACUAUUGAAUUUAAUUGAAUCAUAUAGUUUAAGGGGCAGAGAUAUCAGAAAAUUUUCCAAACAGUUUCUUUUGCAGGAUAAUGAAUAGAGAAAAACAGAGGGGGGGCGGGGGAUCUAAAAGGUUAUAUUUUGGUGAGUCAGAACUCAGAACUAGUAUGUUUCACCUGAUUUUGCAUCUGGGUUCCAACUCUAACCGCCGCAUUUGGAGACAGCUGGGCAGAGCUGAAAGCAGA
rnacentral:lncRNA from 1 species